rnacentral:tRNA from 1 species
UCAAAGCCCCUCGCUUACACCGAGUAGAUAUCCGUGAAAACCAGAUUAUUUUGA